rnacentral:piRNA from 1 species
UGCAAUGGUGCUUGUCUCUAGGGGUUACUCU